rfam:Prevotella timonensis CRIS 5C-B1 contig00005, whole genome shotgun sequence.
GAGAGCCGUAUGCAGGGAGACUUGCACGUACGGUUCGGGGGCAGGCUAUGGGAAACCUACCACCGAAAGGUGGUAAGGCGCCCAUCGCCGAGCCUAC